UUCCCUACACCACGCACUCUAAGUUCUCAAUUUCAGCUACCAUCAGACCUUCCUGCGAUCCACCAUAGCAGCUUGUUCCUUAAACUCCUCCUGUGCUCUGACAGCAUCAUCAAGGUGCAGUUGUGCAUCCUAGGCCUGCACAUUCCUCAGCUGCUUCUGGGACUCAGCAGCCUGGCGAUUGGCUGGCUCAGCUGAAUCUCCAUCUCAUUCAGGUCUCCCUCCAUCUUCUUCUUGAUUUCAGGGCAUCG